rnacentral:rRNA from 1 species
CCUACGGGAGGCAGCAGUGGGGAAUAUUGCACAAUGGGGGAAACCCUGAUGCAGCGACGCCGCGUGAGUGAAGAAGUAAUUCGUUAUGUAAAGCUCUAGCAGCAGGGAAGAAAAUGACGGUACCUGAGUAAGAAGCCCCGGCUAACUACGUGCCAGCCGCCGCGGGUAUACGUAGGGGGCAAGCGUUAGCCGGAUUUACUGGGUGGAAAGGGAGCGGAGACGGCAGUGGAAGUCUGGAGUGAAAGGCGGGGGCUCAACCCCGGGACUGCUCUGGAAACUGUACGGCUGGAGUGCAGGAGAGGUAAGUGGAAUUCCUAGUGUAGCGGUGAAAUGCGUAGAUAUUAGGAGGAACACCAGUGGCGAAGGCGGCUUACUGGACUGUAACUGACGUUGAGGCUCGAAAGCGUGGGGAGCAAACAGGAUUAGAUACCCUUGUAGUC